AUAGUUGUGGGGUGCUUUUUAUGUGUGUCUGUUGGAAGUGUGUUGUAUGAUGGGUGUCGACGUCAUAAGGUUCAGGUCUCCUAACAGCCUGCUGAUGCACUUUAGGCUCGACUGUGCAAUAACAUGCAGAAAGCUCGGGAACUCUGGGAUAGCAUCAUGACCAGAGGAAAUGCCAAGUACGCCAACAUGUGGCUAGAGUAUUACAACCUGGAAAGAGCGCAUGGUGACACCCAGCACUGCCGGAAGGCUCUGCACCGGGCCGUCCAGUGCACCAGUGACUACCCAGAGCACGUCUGCGAAGUGUUACUCACCAUGGAGAGGACAGAAGGUUCUUUAGAAGAUUGGGAUAUAGCUGUUCAGAAAACUGAAACCCGAUUAGCUCGUGUCAAUGAGCAGAGAAUGAAG
rnacentral:sRNA from 1 species